ensembl:lncRNA
CGUGUUCAUCUGUGGGCACUGAAUCAAAUAUGUGCUGACUGAACUAUAGAUUCUAUUAUCUUCUGUAUGGCUUGUGUAAUAGCAAUGGUAUAUAAAAGUGAGGUGGAAUAUGAAGCUGAUAUAUUGAUCGGAGACAUGGCUGGAAAAACUGUCAGAAACAUGUAUUGGGAGCUGGAUGUUAGGGCCUGGAAAAAACAUGAACGGAAACUAAUGAGAGAAGAUCAGCAGAUCCCAACCGGUGGAUGAGAUUAAUCAGUCAAAGAUAUGAAAACCUCACUAUUGAAUGGACUCGCAGACGAUGUAGACAGCCCAUCCGAGAUGUGAUUAAUAUCAAAGGUAAUUCGACACUUUUGAGGAUAUUUUGUACACAAUUUCGAAGCCUUUGGACAGAGAUAAAUGAGGAUGAAAUCAGAGAUCUGGAAGAAAGAGCACAAGCUCUUGCGUUAGACAACUAAAGACACAGACAACAAUUAAACGAACAAAGAAGAGCUGCCAAAAAACAUGAGAGACCAUGUUUUCACCUGACAGGAGCUCAUGGAGACCACAAGAUCUGCAUCUUUUGACCAGAUUCGAUGGAGACCAAAUAUUAAUUUCUUGUAUUUCUUGUAUUUGUCUGUGAAUAUUUCCCAGGGUUUAUUGUCAAUUUCUGUAUGAACAAAAGUCUUGAUUAAAAAAUUAAAUUAAAAAAUAAAUCUAAUAGACAUUUUCAUUGUUACACACUUAACACACAUUAUACUCUUUUGUCACAUUGUAUGGGGUAAUUUGUAGCAAAUGAAGCUACCAUUUACUAAUGUAUGUCAGUGGGGGUUUACGGUGUUCAGUUGUUUACCAACAGCUAUUAGUAACUGCCUAUAACUAAAAUCACACACACACACACACACACACACACACACACACACACACACACACACACACACACACACACACACACACACACACACACUCACACAACAACUUCCUACAAAGUAACAUUGAGAAACUGUCCAGUCUCCAUAGAGACGCAGCUUUAAAUCCAUCAGACAGCGCCCUCUUCUGGACUGAGCUUGUCAUCAGACACAAAUCUGAAAGUAACAUUUUUGCAUUUGGCAGACGCUUUUAUCCAAAGCGACUUACAGUGCAUUCAGGCUAUACUAUAUAAUAAUAUAUAUAUAAUAAUAAUAAUAUAUAUAAUAAUAAUAUAUAAUAACUAUAUAUAUAUAUAUAUAUACUAUAUAUAUAUAUAUUUUUUUUUUUUAACAACGUUUAAUUUAUGUUUUGCUGAUACUGCAAAGACAAAAAAAAAAAAA